UACGAAGGGGGCUAGCGUUGUUCGGAAUCACUGGGCGUAAAGGGCGCGUAGGCGGCUUUAUAAGUCGGGGGUGAAAGCCUGUGGCUCAACCACAGAAUUGCCUUCGAUACUGUAGAGCUUGAGACCGGAAGAGGUAAGUGGAACUGCGAGUGUAGAGGUGAAAUUCGUAGAUAUCGUAAGGAACACCAGUGGCGAAGGCGGUGCUCUGGGCCGGAACUGACGCUGAGGAGCGAAAGCGUGGGGAGCAAACAGG
rnacentral:rRNA from 1 species